CCUACGGGAGGCAGCAGUGGGGAAUAUUGCACACUGGGGGAACCCCUGAUGCAGCGACGCCGCGUGAGUGAAGAAGUAUUUCGGUACGUAAAGCUCUAUCAGCAGGGAAGAAAAUGACGUUACCUGACUAAGAAGCCCCGGCUAACUACGUGCCAGCAGCCGCGGUACUACGUAGGGGGCAAGCGUUAUCCGGAUUUACUGGGGGUAAAGGGAGCGUAGACGGCAGGACAAGUCUGAGGUGAAAUCCCGGGGCUUAACCACGGAACUGCAUUGGAAACUGUUCGGCUGGAGUGCAGGAGGGGUAAGCGGAAUUCCUAGUGUAGCGGUGAAAUGCGUAGAUAUUAGGAGGAACACCAGUGGCGAAGGCGGCUUACUGGACUGUAACUGACGUUGAGGCUCGAAAGCGUGGGGAGCAAACAGGAUUAGAUACCCCGGUAGUC
rnacentral:rRNA from 1 species